UACAGAGGUCUCAAGCGUUGUUCGGAUUCAUUGGGCGUAAAGGGUGCGUAGGCGGCGCGGUAAGUCGGGUGUGAAAUCUCGGGGCUUAACUCCGAAACUGCAUUCGAUACUGCCGUGCUUGAGGACUGGAGAGGAGACUGGAAUUCAUGGUGUAGCAGUGAAAUGCGUAGAGAUCAGGAGGAAGACCAGUGGCGAAGGCGGGUCUCUGGACAGUUCCUGACACUGAGACACGAAGGCCAGGGGAGCAAACGGG
rnacentral:rRNA from 1 species